UUCACAUUGAAAUUAACCUUAUAUCUUACUGUUCUAUCUAUAGCUUUACCAGGUGAAAAUGAUGUAUACAUUUCAUGGAAUCUAGCAUCAAGAAGACUUCUUAGAAUAUACUUUGCGCGGAUCUUUCCAAUACCACAUUGCCAAAUAUUUCAUAAUGGAACCAGCAUCUUACACACAACAACGACAAUAAGUGAACGAGAUGGUUACUUCUACAAUGUCAGCGUAUCUUUUGUUAGCCCUUAUCAAAUGGAGUUAUGUGAUGGAUACUUAGACAUACAAUGCAGUUUGAACAAUCAUACGAUUUCAGUUGGAAAUAAAAGUGCUCUACCAGUCUGUAAUGAUUUGAAAGAAAAGAGAAAUGGUAGAAUCCUUCUUGUUAUUCUCGGGAUCGUAGCAUUGGUGUUAUUGCAAUGCGGUCUAAGUAGAAUUAUAGCCAGCGAUGCACGACAAUUAAAAGAUACUGCAUCUACAUUAACAAUCAAUCCAAAGCAGACACUAGCUGGUGGUGUGGGUAUCUGUGGUUAUGUAUUGCCUGUGGUUAAAUGUUCACUCUACUAUGGCUGGUUGCAUACCAACUUGCUGUUUGAGAAAAGACCAUCAUCAGCUUUAAAUCAUCGGCAUCAUCUACACUCUUGAAAAUCCAUUGAAAACAACACCAACUAAAAACAUAAAACAACAAACAACAAAAGUAAGGUAAAUAUUAUGUAACAUGCACACACCUUAGGACCAUAUGUCGUAAAGAUAAAAAACAAAAUUAAUAUCAUAUGCAGUGCAGCAAAACCAACAAGAUGAAACUAAUUUAAAUAAGGUAUAGGAUGAAACGACGACAAAUAAUUUUUGAAAGCAGGGUCAAAAUGGCUCUUCGUCACUUUUGCUCUUGUGGUGUGUCGUCUCAUUAGCAAUCAUACCACAUCAUCAUAUUUUCUACAGACGUAUACAUUAUAAUAUUCAUUAAUACAAUAGAGUAAACACUAUUUUUCAAGGCUAAAUGUUUGGGUUGAAAUACGGACUCUCUAACUAAUACCUCUUCUUUUUUAUGAAGCUAGUGUAUUUCUAAAUUGAUGUAUGAAAGAUACCAGCUAUACACAUAAACAGCAAAAUGAUCUUGUUGAAAUCAUUUCAUGAAUUAAACAAAGGUUCGGAUUCCCUCGCGCAAAAAUAAUUUAAUGAAUUGUCUAUACCUUUUUUAUCCUUUUGUUCAUAAGGCUCUUCUAUAGUUCAGGUCUUAUACCCCAUUGGCUUUCAAGUGUUUGGUUUAAAACGUUUUAUGUAGGUUAACCCAGUAUAUCGCUUUCGUAAU